rnacentral:rRNA from 1 species
UGGGGAAUAUUGCACAAUGGGCGCAAGCCUGAUGCAGCAACGCCGCGUGAGGGGCACGACGGCCCUUCGGGUUUGUAAACCUCUUUUAGUAGGGAAGAAGCGAAAGUGACGGUACCUGCAGAAAAAAGCACCGGCUAACUACGUGCCAGCAGCCGCGGUAAUACGUAGGGUGCGAGCGUUGUCCGGAAUUAUUGGGCGUAAAGAGCUCGUAGGCGGUCUGUCGCGUCUGCUGUGAAAACCCGAGGCUCAACCUCGGGCCUGCAGUGGGUACGGGCAGACUAGAGUGCGGUAGGGGAGAAUGGAAUUCCUGGUGUAGCGGUGGAAUGCGCAGAUAUCAGGAGGAACACCGAUGGCGAAGGCAGUUCCCUGGGCCGUAACUGACGCUGAGGAGCGAAAGCGUGGGGAGCGAACAGGAUUAGAUACCCUGGGUAGUCCACGCCGUAAACGUUGGGCGCUAGAUGUGGGGCACCAUUCCACGGUUUCCGUGUC